AAAUGCUCCAAUACAAGACAAAUAUUUUUGACAAUUACAGUACCAUUAAAAUAAAGUAAAAAAAAUAAGCGAGUUAUGCAAUGAAUGACAUAGUAUCAUAAACGAUCAAUAUCUAAAGACUGCAAUGAAUGAAAAUAUUUAUUUUAACACACGGGAUUAUUUAUGUACAUUAAAAAAAAAUAAUAAUAAUAAUAAACUUAUUGAACUGAUAUGAUUGAUGAAUUAGAAAAAAACGAUUGUUAUCAAGAGAACUAAAUGAAUCAAACAAAUGUGUUAUAAAUACCGAUUUUUUAUAUAGAAAAAUAAACAUGAAAAAAGAAUAUAUGAUUGAUUUGAUAUGAUAAAUGAAUGUUGAGUUAAACAAAAUAUGAAUGAUCAUUUAAAAAAAAAAAAGAAAUGCGCAAACAAGAAUGUUAUGAAUUGUGAUGAAAGAUGUUUUACAAAUGAUAAAAUUGAUGGGAUUUAAACAAGAAACAGAUUAAGAAAAAUACCAGUACUGAGUUUAUACGAAACGAAGUUGACUUUAUAGCUGUCGGCCACCAUUGCUAGUACCAACCACUAGUGUCUUCCUUCUUAUCUACAAGGACUGUGCCGCCCUGGGCUCCUAAGUGUAUGAAAGUAUGGCACGGAGCGACGGCGCCGAAUACCCAUAUUUACACAAAGAAUUUUAGAGCGCCCGCCGCGGGAUUCGAACCGGCAACCUCUGGAUUGUGAGUCCAGUGCGCGGUCCGAUUGAUCCACACGGGCGGGACAUAAAAUACAUAUAUUUAUACAUAAUUUUUUUUUUGACACGUGAAGCGAUUAUGAUCAAAUAUAAACAUAAUAAUGAAGCAGUGAUGAAACACGUUAAAACAAUUAAGAAGCUGUUGGGUUGCAAUUUUGGGAAUAUACUUAAUUGAGCUAAAAUGGGUUAACAGGGUAUUAGAAAAACAAUGACGCAAUUUUUAACUACAAAUAAAAACAAAUUAAACGGACUGAACAAUAAUGAAAUUUGAACGACAGGCAAAUGAAGAUGGUGUGAUUAUUAAAUGUUUCAAAACAACAUGUAUGCAAGUAAGAAUGUGUGUGAGAAUAAUUGGACAAGGGAGGUGCACCCCAGAAUGAAUGUUGAAUAAUGUCAUACGCUUAUACGAAGGAUUUACAGGAAACCAUUGGAAAACAAUCAAGAAGACAACAAUAUCAGCAAGGACGCUUGCAAAGACGAAUAUGGACUACAGCUCAAGAAAGGGUAAAAUUUGUGAGUACAUCGUGGGGAAUCUAAAAAGAUCGGAAAGAACGGUAUAAGUUCCGAUCUAGGGAUACAUAAACUGAUAAAGCAACGCCAAAGGGAUUAAAAAGUAGACAAUUGUACUCUAUGGGGAGAGUUUUAUGUCGAAUAAAGCUUCAAACAGUUGUAAUCCAUGGGGGGAUUCAAUAUGUUAAAAACAUUUCAAAACAUUUGCACUUUACGGGGAUAGUCAAAUGAAAAUUAAAGGGAAUGGAUAAAUAACGCUUCAAGGGAAAAUCAAGGGAUAAAAUAAUGCUUCAAGGGAAAAACACCUUUAAACUGAUAAAAUUCAGAGGAAAAAAAACAGAUCGUUAUCAUUAGAAUGAUAAUUGAACCAACUAAUUAUCUUGCAAAUUCAGCAUUUAUUGCAAAUUGCUAAAAUAAACAAAUUAAUUUAAUGGGUUUGACAAAUUUGAAAACACAAAGUGAUGUACAGAUUUCAUAAAAAGUUGGAAGAACAGAAUGGAUAUUUUAACAUACGCAGUAUUGCAAUGACAAGAUGAUAGGAUGUAUAGAUCAAUGAAAAACUUUAUAGAGUAAUUUUUUUUAUUCAAGUAUAAAAAUAAUAGUCAAUUAGAACUGAUUUCUUUUUGUAUUAAAAAUAAUAGAACUGAUUUCAUAUAAAAAUAUCAACAAGAUUUAUAAAAUUGUAAGUAAAUUUUAAUUUCAAUUUUGCACAUAAAUUAAAUGAUAGAUUCCUGAAAAUUAUAAAAUAGUAUUCAUGCGAAGAAAACAAGUAAGAAAUUUGUGUGGGAGAAACAAAACUAAAAAACUGAAGUAUGGCAGAGACACAAGGAUGAUCGACGCGUUCGUAUGCAGAAGUUUGUGAUGGCAAGAUGGUGAGUGGCAAAGUCAUGCGGGAGGUUGGACAGGUAACGGUGUUGAUGUUGUUGUAAAAGGUCAUAUCAAUGAGGAUCAAGUCGAAUUAAAUCGCAUUUUUUAUAACGAGACAUUCACGUAAAACAAAUUACUAAAUCGAAAUGUGGAAUUAAGCGAAGUAAAGAUGAUUGAAACAUCAAUUAUGGAACAAAAAUGCAAGUUGAGAUCAUACUGCACGUCUGAAACUAUUGAAAAGGAGAAGAUCAUGAUAAACAAAUGAUAACAUCAUCCGAUGUCAUUAAUUUACAAUAGCCAAAGUUGCAAAUUAAACGAAAAGACAAUUUUGGACAAACAACAUUUCCUAAACAUUUGAAAAAAGAAUUACAUCAACCGAUGUCAAUAAUUUGAGAUUGUCAAAGAUACAAAGCAACUGGAAAAGUCAAUUUUGGACAAAAAAUUACGAACAAUUCACAAUACUCAGCAAGUGAGAAGUCAAUGCACUCUCAAAAUUGACCACAGUCAACUCACAGUUGAGUUAUGAAGCAUAAUUCAUGAUGGAAACGACAAUUGCACUAAUCGACGAAAUUCAACACCUUAGCCUCGAAAACUGAUCAAUUGACCAAGUCACUGUGGAAUGAAUAGCCUCACGAUAGAGACGAUUUUGAUGGAAGACGACGACGAUAAUAACCAGCCGAUCAACACAGUUCUACAACAACAAAUUUAGCUUACAGUGGGAAAAAUGCAAUGAUUUUUUUUAGGAGACAUAAUGAAAAUUAAUUUCAAAUGCAAGUUUAUUUAAAUCAGUUUCAACGAAAAUAUUUUUACAAGAGAAGUUCAAAAUAGUAGUUCAAGUAAUUUAACAGGACAGAAGAUCAAAAAAGUAACGCAAAUAAUUUUUACAGGAGAAAAAUCAAAAGAACAAUUAUAUUAUAAAGCAAUCUACAAGAAAGCACAAGAAGAACAAAUUGUAAACCGCACGAUCACUACACCCGACAAUAUUCUUUCCAGAGA